CUGCAGCCAAUUAAGCCGCCCUGCCACCUCUCCCCGUGAGGGCGGGGUGUGCAGUGGCUGCAGAUAGCACCCUCCUUCUUAGUGUACUGACUUGUUGCUUGUAUGGGUUGCCCUAAGGGACCUUGGAGACAGCC
rnacentral:snoRNA from 1 species